rnacentral:tRNA from 6 species
GCGGAAGUAGCUCAGUUGGUAGAGCACGACCUUGCCAAGGUCGGGGUCGCGAGUUCGAGUCUCGUUUUCCGCU